AUGGGGCUGAGAAGCGGGAUCCCGACGUCCACAGGGGCCGCCGGACAGGUCUGUGUUCUGUGGCCUGCAGACAUUAUUUGGUUAGCACGUCAGUUUUUGCUGCAUCUCCAGUUACCCUUUACUCUGCUCCUCAGUUGUGGGCAGUCGCAGCCCUUGUAUGAGCCUGGGAAGACAGAGCAUGAGCUGUCUGAUGCCAGCUCCCCAGCACCACCUCUCGAGCACAGCAGCCUCAGGCACGCCGUUUUCCUUCCUAACCUUUGGCUUUCUAGUCUGUGGAAUGGGUGUGCAGCCCCAGUUGGCGUGUUGCCUUUCUCAUUAAGGGUCUGUUUUCAGGGUGAAGAGAACAGAGCCUGGAGGGUAAACGUGUGGCAGCUGUUACCGUCAGCAGCAAAGGGAGAAAACAGAAGACAGAAAAGGAAGGAGCACCUCUUGGGAGCAGAGGAAGCGCUGCGUGUCAGGGUCCUCACAGAACUCAGCACAUCUGCGGAUGUGUGAGAUGCCAGCCCACAAGGGACACUUCAUAAUUUUGCAGCUACAGAAACAACCACUUCUUGUUUAUGCCUCACACAGACUAUGCUUACUGCACCUUCAACUUCAGAGCUUUGAAAACUGCAGCAUCUCACAAGCAAAUAUAUUUGGAGCAAGCUUUCCCCUACUGUCCAUGAACAAACCUGUCCAUGCCUUCACUAUAAACCUUCAUGGUUACAGAACUUUAUGCUUUCUGUUUGCAAUUUAGAAUGAUGGGAUCAUCUAAAUCCCUGCCUGUGGCUGAUGACUUUUUUAAAAAAACUAUAAAAUGAAAUAUACUGAAAAAUAAUAACUUGUAGUUGUUGUUGUUUAGUCACUAAGUUGUGUCUGACUCUUUUCAAUCCCAUGGACAUCAGCACACCAGGCUUUCCUGUCCUUC
rnacentral:lncRNA from 1 species